rnacentral:misc_RNA from 1 species
GAUGAGGAACGUAGCGAAAUGCGAUACGUAAUGUGAAUUGCAGAAUUCAGUGAAUCAUCGAGUCUUUGAACGCACAUUGCGCCCCCUGGUAUUCCGGGGGGCAUGCCUGUCCGAGCGUCAUUGCUGCCCUCAAGCACGGCUUGUGUGUUGGGCCUCCGUCCUCCUCCCGGGGGACGGGCCCGAAAGGCAGCGGCGGCACCGCGUCCGGUCCUCGAGCGUAUGGGGCUUCGUCACCCGCUCUUGUAGGCCCGGCCGGCGCUUGCCGACACAUCAAUCUUUUUUCCAGGUUGACCUCGGAUCAGGUAGGGAUACCCGCUGAACUUAAGCAUAUCAAUAAGCGGAGGA